CUUGCAGCCAUCCCGUAGUAUGUUUUAAAUGUGUUAUUUCUUCUUUUCUUCGUUCAUUCGAAGAGAGACAUACGUACAGAAACAAAACAACGUUCAUCUUCCCACUUUGAGACUUAGGGACGAGACUCCUCAACGACCAAGCUCAUCCACAGCGACAUUGGUCACCCUCAGUAGUAAAACAUACUCCACAACAAGGAGUCUCCACAGCAACCACAACAAGGAGUCUCCAUAACAUUUUGAACCAUGGUGGCAAAACUCAUCCAUGACGAUGGCAUAGAUUGAGAUUUCUGGUUGGAUUGGAACUUUUGCGGAUUGGGAUUUUUAAGGCGUGAGAUAGGUUCUCAGUGUAAAGAUGAAGAUGAUGAAUCUCGUUCCUUUAUUUUUUUUGUGUAUAAAGGUCUGCCUGUCAUGUAUAAGGGUGAGAAUAUGAUGGAGAAAACCAAAGUUGAUGAUGAUAAAUAGGUGAGCCAGUGAUUGGGGAUGAAGAAAUGGAAGGUUAGCCCACUAGCUCGCUCGCCCACCCAGUGGCGGUGGUCUCACCCGACUUGAAUUUAGCAUGCCAGAAGAAAGUUUAGCCUAUACUGGCCAGACGGACC
rnacentral:sRNA from 1 species